CCUAGGUUAGCUCAGUUGGCUAGAGAGUGGUGUUAACACCAAGGUCAGGGGUUCAAUCCCCUACAUGCCA